rnacentral:rRNA from 1 species
AACGAACGCUGGCGGCAUGCCUAACACAUGCAAGUCGAACGAACCCUUCGGGGUUAGUGGCGCACGGGUGCGUAACGCGUGGGAACCUGCCUUUAGGUUCGGAAUAACAGUUAGAAAUGACUGCUAAUACCGGAUAAUGUCUUCGGACCAAAGAUUUAUCGCCUUUAGAUGGGCCCGCGUUAGAUUAGAUAGUUGGUGGGGUAAUGGCCUACCAAGUCGACGAUCUAUAGCUGGUCUGAGAGGAUGAUCAGCCACACUGGGACUGAGACACGGCCCAGACUCCUACGGGAGGCAGCAGUGGGGAAUAUUGGACAAUGGGCGAAAGCCUGAUCCAGCAAUGCCGCGUGAGUGAUGAAGGCCUUAGGGUUGUAAAGCUCUUUUACCAGGGAUGAUAAUGACAGUACCUGGAGAAUAAGCUCCGGCUAACUCCGUGCCAGCAGCCGCGGUAAUAC